rnacentral:rRNA from 1 species
UACGUAGGGUGCGAGCGUUAAUCGGAAUUACUGGGCGUAAAGCGUGCGCAGGCGGUUCGUUGUGUCUGUGGUGAAAGCCCCGGGCUUAACCUGGGAAUGGCCAUGGAAACUGGCGAGCUGGAGUGUGGCAGAGGAGACUGGAAUUCCUGGUGUAGCAGUGAAAUGCGUAGAUAUCAGGAGGAAUACCGAUGGCGAAGGCAGGUCUCUGGGCUGACACUGACGCUCAUGCACGAAAGCGUGGGGAGCAAACAGG